rnacentral:rRNA from 1 species
UGCCAGCCGCCGCGGUAAUACGAAGGUGGCGAGCGUUGUUCGGAUUUACUGGGCGUAAAGAGCACGUAGGCGGUUAAGUAAGCCUCUUGGGAAAGCUCCCGGCUCAACCGGGAAAGGUCGAGGGGAACUACUUAGCUAGAGGGCGGGAGAGGAGCGCGGAAUUCCCGGUGUAGCGGUGAAAUGCGUAGAUAUCGGGAAGAAGGCCGGUGGCGAAGGCGGCGCUCUGGAACGUACCUGACGCUGAGGUGCGAAAGCUAGGGUAGCGAACGGGAUUAGAUA